UACGAAGGUGGCAAGCGUUGUUCGGAUUUACUGGGCGUAAAGGGAGCGUAGGUGGUUAGGUAAGCCCUCCGGGAAAUCUUCAGGCUUAACCUGAAAAGGUCGGGGGGGACUGCCUGGCUAGAGGACGGGAGAGGAGCGCGGAAUUCCCGGUGUAGCGGUGAAAUGCGUAGAUAUCGGGAGGAACAUCAGUGGCGAAGGCGGCCCUCUGGUCCAGUACUGACACUCAAGUGCGAAAGCGUGGGGAGCAAACAGG
rnacentral:rRNA from 1 species